UACGGAGGGUGCGAGCGUUAAUCGGAAUUACUGGGCGUAAAGGGCGCGUAGGCGGCUGAUCAAGUCAGAUGUGAAAACCCGAGGCUUAACUUCGGAGGUGCAUUUGAAACUGGGGAACUAGAGUGCAGGAGAGGUAAGUGGAAUUCCUAGUGUAGCGGUGAAAUGCGUAGAUAUUAGGAGGAACACCAGUGGCGAAGGCGACUUACUGGACUGUAACUGACGCUGAGGCGCGAAAGCGUGGGGAGCAAACAGGAUUAGAAACCCCAGUAGU
rnacentral:rRNA from 1 species